rnacentral:rRNA from 1 species
UACGUAGGGGGCAAGCGUUGUCCGGAUUCAUUGGGCGUAAAGAGCGUGUAGGCGGCCAGGUAGGUCGGUUGUGAAAACUGGAGGCUCAACCUUCAGAGGUCGACCGAAACCAUCUGGCUAGAGUCCGGGAGAGGAGAGUGGAGUUCCUGGUGUAGCGGUGAAAUGCGCAGAUAUCAGGAGGAACACCAAUGGCGAAGGCAGCUCACUGGGACGGUAUUGACGCUGAGACGCGAAAGCGUGGGGAGCAAACAGG